rnacentral:lncRNA from 1 species
GGAGAGCAGCAAGAGAAAGAAAGAGAGAGGCAAGCGAAAUUCCUGAAUGGAUAGACAGAUGCUACGUCAUCGGAGCUGCAUCCUCCACUCCACAAGAGGCUAGGAGCUGGGGGGAGAGAGGCAGUCCAGCCGCAGGGGCCACCCGAACAGUCUCUCCUCCUCACAGAAGCCUGGAGCUGGGCAUCCAAGAAGAAGCAGCCUCAUUUGUUUUCUGGUGUCAUCGUAGGUGGCCACCUAUGGCUUUUGGGCUUCUCACCUGGGGCGGGUGGGUUCUGCACCACCCUCCCACCCUCCUUCCUCCGUGUGGACGAUAGAGCCACAUCCAGCACCACGGACAGCUCCCGGGCGCCUUCAUCUCCUCGUCCUCCAGGCAGCACAAGCCAUUGUGGAAUCUCCACCAGGUGUACAGAACGGUGCCUCUGCGUCCUGCCACUCAGGACCUCUCAAGUCCCCGAUGUGAUGGCUCCUCAGCAUGAUCAGGAGAAAUUCCAUGAUCUUGCUUAUUCCUGUCUUGGGAAGUCCUUCUCCAUGUCUAACCAAGAUCUAUAUGGCUAUAGCACCAGCUCUUUGGCUCUUGGCUUGGCAUGGCUAAGUUGGGAGACCAAAAAGAAGAAUGUACUUCAUCUGGUUGGGCUGGAUUCCCUCUGAUAAGCCUUCCCAGUUGACUGAAAGAUGAGGCUAGGCUCUAGCAAGUUGAAGUCAAACCAGCUCCUUCAAGAAGCUUUGAGCAGAAUGAAGUGGGGAGGACCCAGCUUCCAGCCCAGGAAGCCCACUGUACCUGGAGCCAUCUGGGAUAAGACUUUGACCCAUGACUCCCAUAUCCACAGCCUGUCCAUCCUAGCCCAUCCCAGUUUAUCCUGUAUCAUUUGAGCUGGGAUUCCCACAUCCUCUGAGUUGGAAGUCCCAUCUCAAGUCUUCAAUAAAGACUCUUGAAUAUUGAAUCACAUUAAAAAAAAAA